UGCGUGUCACUGUGCUUGCAGUGUGGGACAUGUGUGGGUGCUCUGUCUCAGAGCUGUGUGUCCAUCUGUGCAUGGCCAUGGCAAUGAUCUUCUUCCUCAAGUGCUGGGGAUUGUGUUUUAAUGGAUGUUUCAUGAGUGCAGGGGCAGACGGUGCUGUGGUCCCAAGGUCGUGCAAGGAGCCUGCAGUGCAGUCAGCAGCUCAACCCGUAUCUGGCCGCAGCUGAAACAUCCAGGAGAGUUUAUGAAGGCUCCAUAUUGCCGCUGCACCAAGACCGCCAUGACAGGACAGCCACUGAAAAGGCCAUUGAUGCUCUCUGUGCUGCCCCACACCUUGCCUCUUCUUCCUAUGCACCUGGUAGAUGUAGCUGUAGUGCAACGAAGUGUGAGUUUAAUCUGGUUUGGUUUUCUUUUUUUGGAAGGCUAGUUUGCCAUUGAAUCCAGUGUAGUCAAGACAGAAAGAGAAGGUGCUUGAGAGUACAGUUCAGAGCUGCACUGCAAGUGCUCCACUUUGCCUUGACUAUCAGAAAUGCUUA